rnacentral:rRNA from 1 species
UACGUAGGUCUCAAGCGUUGUUCGGAUUCAUUGGGCGUAAAGGGUGUGUAGGUGGCGCCGUAAGUCGGGUGUGAAAUUUCGGAGCUUAACUCCGAAACUGCAUUCGAUACUGCGGUGCUUGAGGACUGGAGAGGAGACUGGAAUUCAUGGUGUAGCAGUGAAAUGCGUAGAGAUCAUGAGGAAGACCAGUGGCGAAGGCGAGUCCCUGGACAACUCCUGACGCUGAGGCACGAAAGCUAGGGGAGCAAACAGG